rnacentral:rRNA from 1 species
AGAACGAACGCUGGCGGCAUGCCUAAUACAUGCAAGUCGAACGAACACUUCGGUGUUAGUGGCGCACGGGUGCGUAACGCGUGGGAAUCUGCCCUUGGGUUCGGAAUAACAGUUGGAAACGACUGCUAAUACCGGAUGAUAUCGAAAGAUCAAAGAUUUAUCGCCCAGGGAUGAGCCCGCGUAGGAUUAGCUAGUUGGUGAGGUAAAGGCUCACCAAGGCGACGAUCCUUAGCUGGUCUGAGAGGAUGAUCAGCCACACUGGGACUGAGACACGGCCCAGACUCCUACGGGAGCAGCAGUAGGGAAUAUGGACAAGUGGCGCAAGCCUGAUCCAGCAAUGCCGCGUGAGUGAUGAAGCUUAGGGUUGUAAGCUCUUUACCCGAGAUGAUAAUGACAGUAGUGGAGAAGUAACGCCCCGGACUAACCUCCGCGCCAGCACGCCGAC